AUUGAACGCUGGCGGCAGGCCUAACACAUGCAAGUCGAACGAGUGGCGGACGGGUGAGAAAUGUAUGGGCAAUUCCAUGAUGGAGGGGGAUAACUAAUGGAAACGGUAGCUAAUACCGCAAACCAUCGGAUGUGACCUGAAGGGAUUAGCUAGUAGGUGGGGGAAAGGCUCACCUAGGCGACGAUGCCUAGCUGGUCUGAGAGGAUGACCAUCCACACUGGAACUGAGACACGGUCCAGACUCCUACGGGAGGCAGCAGUGGGGAAUAUUGCACAAUGGGCGCAAGCCUGAUGCAGCCAUGCCGCGUGUAUGAAGAAGGCCUUCGGGUUGUAAAGUACUUUCAGCGGGGAGGCGUUACCCGCAGAAGAAGCACCGGCUAACUCCGUGCCAGCCGCCGCGGUAAUUC
rnacentral:rRNA from 1 species